UACGUAGGGCGCAAGCGUUUAUCCGGAAUUAUUGGGCGUAAAGAGCUCGUAGGCGGUUUGUCGCGUCUGCCGUGAAAGUCCGGGGCUCAACUCCGGAUCUGCGGUGGGUACGGGCAGACUAGAGUGAUGUAGGGGAGACUGGAAUUCCUGGUGUAGCGGUGAAAUGCGCAGAUAUCAGGAGGAACACCGAUGGCGAAGGCAGGUCUCUGGGCAUUAACUGACGCUGAGGAGCGAAAGCAUGGGGGAGCGAACAGG
rnacentral:rRNA from 1 species